AUUGAACGCUGGCGGCAGGCUUAACACAUGCAAGUCGAGCGGGGUGAUGGUGCUUGCACUAUCACUUAGCGGCGGACGGGUGAGUAACGCUUAGGAAUCUGCCUAUUAGUGGGGGACAACAUCUCGAAAGGGAUGCUAAUACCGCAUACGUCCUACGGGAGAAAGCAGGGGAUCACUUGUGACCUUGCGCUAAUAGAUGAGCCUAAGUCGGAUUAGCUAGUUGGUGGGGUGAAGGCCUACCAAGGCGACGAUCUGUAGCGGGUCUGAGAGGAUGAUCCGCCACACUGGGACUGAGACACGGCCCAGACUCCUACGGGAGGCAGCAGUGGGGAAUAUUGGACAAUGAGGGGAACCCUGAUCCAGCCAUGCCGCGUGUGUGAAGAAGGCCUUAUGGUUGUAAAGCACUUUAAGCGAGGAGGAGGCUCUUUUGGUUAAUACCCAAGAUGAGUGGACGUUACUCGCAGAAUAAGCACCGGCUAACUCUGUGCCAGCAGCCGCCGUAA
rnacentral:rRNA from 1 species